GACGUAGGGCGCGAGCGUUGUCCGGAUUUAUUGGGCGUAAAGAGCUCGUAGGCGGCUUGUUGCGUCAGCUGUGAAAACCCGCAGCUCAACUGUGGGCUUGCAGCUGAUACGGGCAGGCUUGAGUUCGGUAGGGGAGACUGGAAUUCCUGGUGUAGCGGUGAAAUGCGCAGAUAUCAGGAAGAACACCUAUGGCGAAGGCAGCACUCUGGGACGGUACUGACGCUGAGACGCGAAAGCGUGGGGAGCGAACAGG
rnacentral:rRNA from 1 species